AUUAAUUACAUUGUAAUGGGAUAUAAUAUCACGAAAAAAAGUGAGCUAAUCAUAUAUUUAUUUAGUAACAAUUGACGUGGUAUAGUGUAGGUAAUAUAUGAUUAGGGGUGAUAGGCCUUUCAAACUUUUGGAUAACUUGUUGCACGUGAAAUGCAUUAAGUACUGAGACAUAUUUAAAAAGUUAAGCUUUUAAAUAUAUAUAAAAAAUAUUAUUAAUUUUACACAAAGAAUAAUUCCUAGUUGUUAAAUGUGCUAAUAUUUAAUUUGUAUAUAUUAUAUUAAUUAACGUGCUAGUUAUAUUGCUAUUAAACUUGAUAAUGUUAAUAUUAGUAGUGUUUUAAGUGUGUUUAAAGGAACUCGGCAAAUUUAUCGCUCAACUGUUUAUCAAAAACAUAGCUGCAUGAUUUAAUGUGCAGUUUUUUCUGCUCCAUGAAUAAUAAAUAGCCGCAGUACUCUGACUGUGCAAAGGUAGCAUAAUCAGUUGGCUUUUAAUUAAAGUCUGGAAUGAACGAAAGCAUGGGUGGUAGCUAUCUUAAACAUAUUUAGUUGAACUUAAUAAGUAAGUGAAAAUGCUUAUAAUACAACAAAAGACGAGAAGACCCUAGAAACUUGAAUUGGUUUUUGUUGGGGCGACAGAAUUACAUUUAACUAGUUUUAUUGAACAAGACGUAAAAAUGAAAGAAUAAGUUACUCUAGGGAUAACAGCAUAAUUUUUAUAGUUUGUGACCUCGAUGUUGGACUAGGUAUUAUACCCUUAAGACAAGGAUAUAAAAUGCUCUGUUCGAGCAAAUAAACCUACAU
rnacentral:rRNA from 1 species